UGCCGCGUGCAGGAAGACUGCCCUAUGGGUUGUAAACUGCUUUUAUACAGGAAGAAUAAGCCUUACGUGUAAGGUGAUGACGGUACUGUAAGAAUAAGGACCGGCUAACUCCGUGCCAGCAGCCGCGGUAAUACGGAGGGUCCGAGCGUUAUCCGGAAUUAUUGGGUUUAAAGGGUCCGUAGGCGGAUGAUUAAGUCAGGGGUGAAAGUUUGCAGCUCAACUGUAAAAUUGCCUUUGAUACUGGUUAUCUUGAGUUGUAUUGAAGUAGGCGGAAUAUGUAGUGUAGCGGUGAAAUGCAUAGAUAUUACAUAGAACACCAAUUGCGAAGGCAGCUUACUAAGUACUAACUGACGCUGAUGGACGAAAGCGUGGGUAGCGAACAGGAUUAGAUACCCUGGUAGUCCACGCCGUAAACGAUGGAUACUAGCUGUUCGGGACCUUGAGUUCUGAGCGGCUAAGCGAAAGUGAUAAGUAUCCCACCUGGGGAGUACGUUCGCAAGAAUG
rnacentral:rRNA from 1 species